AUCACGCGGCCCUUUCACAAGGAACUCCAGCUUAGCUACCAGUUCAUCAAUUGCACAAUAUUGCAAUAUGUGAGGCUGACUCGAAAGGUCCUUUGUACUACCAUAAUUGUAGUUGCAAUUAUGUAUUCUAGAAUAUUGUGCUCUUGAUAUCCUUGUAAAACCUGUGCUCAUGGAUGAUGCUGGUGUUUUGUACUUUGCAAUUGGCUCUGGUGUUUGGUUCUUUGGGUUUCAAGUGAUCUAGCCUUCGGAUGGUGGUUUGGAGCCGCCUGACUUCCAUAACCAUGGCCUUCAACUCUCUCAGCUGUGCUAGCUCAGCAGGUCUUCAUGACAUUCUCAAUUGAGCUGUCCAUGCUUCGCCAACGAUUUAGGUGAUCAAGUUAUUAUUCAAUGGUUCGGUUCUCUCCCACCUGUAAGAAAAAAAAAAAGCUCUUUAUGAUUUUAUCACGCAGUUACAUCAGUUUUGAAUUGUUUCAUAACUCUGCGUAAUUUGUUGCGUUAAUGUUUAAUUGUUUACCGUUUGCCGGAGGAGAUGAAUUUCAUAUUGUUAAUACAUGGUUGCAGAAGAUUUCUUUUUUUCUCAUGUGUAUGGCAUCUUGAUAUUUGGAGU